CCUACGGGCGGCUGCAGUGGGGAAUAUUGGACAAUGGGGGAACCCUGAUCCAGCCAUGCCGCGUGUGUGAAGAAGGCCCUCGGGUUGUAAAGCACUUUCAGUGAGGAAGAACGCCUGGUGGUUAAUACCCAUCAGGAAAGACAUCACUCACAGAAGAAGCACCGGCUAACUCCGUGCCAGCAGCCGCGGUAAUACGGAGGGUGCGAGCGUUAAUCGGAAUUACUGGGCGUAAAGCGCGCGUAGGUGGCUUGAUAAGCCGGUUGUGAAAGCCCCGGGCUCAACCUGGGAAAGGCAUCCGGAACUGUCAAGCUAGAGUGCAGGAGAGGAAGGUAGAAUUCCCGGUGUAGCGGUGAAAUGCGUAGAGAUCGGGAGGAAUACCAGUGGCGAAGGCGGCCUUCUGGACUGACACUGACACUGAGGUGCGAAAGCGUGGGUAGCAAACAGGAUUAGAUACCCUAGUAGUC
rnacentral:rRNA from 1 species